rnacentral:rRNA from 1 species
GAUGAACGCUGGCGGCUGGCCUAAUACAUGCAAGUCGAACGAAGAUGUUCUUGUGUUCGCAUGAGAGCUCUUAGUGGCGGACGGGUGAGUAACGCGUUGGUGACCUGCCCUAAAGAAGGGAACAACCUCGGGAAACUGAGGCUAAUACCCUAUGUGCUUCUAGAGAUUAGAUGCUUUAGAAGUAAAGGUUCUGUGGACGAAAGACCGCAGCGCCGCUUUAGGAGGGGCCUGCGUCCCAUCAGCUAGUUGGUAGGGUAAUGGCCUACCAAGGCGAUGACGGGUAGGGGACCUGAGAGGGUGACCCCCCACACUAGCACUGAACACGGGCUAGACACCUACGGGUGGCAGCAGUAGGGAAUCUUGCACAAUCGACGAAAGUCUGAUGCAGCAACGCCGCGUGUGCGAUGAAGGCCUUCGGGUUGUAAAGCACUUUUCUGAGGGAAGAGAAAGGACGGUACCUCAGGAAUAAGUCUCGGCUAACUACGUG